rnacentral:rRNA from 1 species
AACGAACGUUGGCGGCGUGGAUUAGGCAUGCAAGUCGAACGCGAAUCCCUGGGCAACUGGGGAGGCGAGUGGCGAAAGGGGCAGUAAGGCGUGGGUAACCUACCCUCCGGGCCGGGAUAGCUUCGGGAAACUGAAGGUAAUACCGGGCGACGCAGCGUGAUCGCAUGGUCUUGCUGCCAAAGGUCCGCCGCCGGGGGAGGGGCUCACGUGGUAUUAGCUAGACGGCGGGGUGACGGCCCACCGUGGCAAGGACGCCUAGCAGGUGUGAGAGCACGUCCUGCGCCACUGGCACUCAGACACUGGCCAGACACCGACGGGUGGCUGCAGUCGAGGAUAUACGGCAAUGGGCGCAAGCCUCACCGGGCGACGCCGCGUGUGCGAUGAAGGCCUUCGGGUUGUAAAGCACUGUCGAGGGGGAGGAAGCCGCAAGGUUGACCUAUCCCUGGAGGAAGCACGGGCUAAGUUCGUG